CCGUGACCUGUAGGGAGAAGAAAUCCUGGGUAGUCUGUUCAGUGUAGGGUCUACCCGCCCUUCCUCCCCACGUUCCAUCCGCCUCGCAAGACGACUCCCCCUGUAAUCUGCUCCCCUCGAUUGAACCUGGAAUCUCCUUUCUGGCGAACCAGAUGUGCUACGCUGACUCCUCUGCGUUCUAUCCCUAGACGUGGACCUCCCGCAGUCUUCCCUGCAACAGGACCUAGCUGCGCUGCAUCUGCUCCGCGCCGGUGACCUCUCACCGCUUCCUUGACUCCCUGCUCUGCUCCUCGUGCUGCUGCGCCUGACGCUCGCACAGCGCCGUUC